UAGAUGAAUGCUCGCUGGUUUGAGUACCUAGCUGUUAACUAGGGGUUUGUAGGAUCGAGGCCUUCUCAUCUAG
rnacentral:tRNA from 2 species